rnacentral:tRNA from 1 species
UUUAAGAUAGUUUAAUAAAAAUAUUAAUUUUGGAGAUUAAAAUUGACACUUGUCUCUUAUAA